AGUGAGCGCUGGCGGUGGGCCUAACACAUGCAAGUCGAACGGCGGCACAGUAAUAGCUUGCUCUUACGGGUGGCGAGUGGCGGACGGGUGAGGAAGACAUCGGAAUCUACUUUUUCGUGGGGGAUAACGGGGGAAAACUUACGCUAAUACCGCAUACGACCUAAGGGGGAAAGCAGAGGAUCUUCGGACCGGGCGCAAUUGAAUGAGCCGAUGUCGGGUUAGCUAGUUGGCGGGGUAAAGGGCGGGCAAGGGGCCGAUCAGUAGCUCGUCCGAGAGGGUGAUCCGCCACACGGGAAGUGAGACACGCUCCAGACUCUGACGCUAGGCCGCAGUCGGAAAUACUAGACAAGGGGCGCGAGCCUGAUCCAGCCAUACCGCGUGAGUGAAGAAGGCGCGCGGGUGGGAAAGCCCUUUUGUUGUGAAAGAAAUGCAGCAGGUUAAGACCCCGCUGUUCUGACGGUACCCAAAGAAUAAGCACCGGCUAACUUCGUG
rnacentral:rRNA from 1 species